AAAGCUUUACAGGUCACGGGGGUCCCCUCCACCACCACCAGUGUGUACCCCCGCCUGGAUGAUCAGACAGCAGCCAGAAUGCGCAGUACGCUCCCCACACACCAGCUCCCAGAGAAUGAAGCCAGUUCAGAGAGGGGGGUUAUUAGGAGGUCAUUGUUGUUGUGCAAUAACAAGGUCACGUGUGAGAUCAAGGGAUAACUCUUACAGUAAUAACUGCACUUUUCCCUUAGUGCGGACCUACUCUUUAUGUAGCUUCAGCGGAAAACCAUCCGUAUAGAUCCCCACGUCCCCCUCCGCAUGGCAAACAGGUGCCCGGCCCCGUGCUCUUAUCCAAGUCGGGUUUUGCAACGAUCUGGACUUCUGCUGGAAACAUUCCUUGAAGCCGGCUAACGCGGGAGAGAGAAGAGACACGCUGGGACAGAGGCGUGACCCCGCUUAUUCGAAUCUGCAGCGAGGCCGAAACCGAUAACGCGGCUGCUGGCUGCCAAGCCUCACGGACAGCCAAAUAUGGCCAGGAAACCGGGCUAUUUUAACAUUGGACAUCCCGUGACUCUUUUCCGCCCGUCUCCCUGGUCGAACCGCCCCUCUGUCAGUCUAUAAGUGGAGCAGAGCUCCGUCUCGACAGCCGCACAAGACCCUGAUCCGCGAGCUGAAUUCUAAUUACAAAGUAGUAGCCUAAACAGUAAGUAUAAACGCUGUGUUGAAAGAGCUGAACUUGUUGGAGGACAAAAGAAACUAAAAUAAAUAAACCAAACACCGUGUCAAAAAUGGUAUUUGCACCAAUGGUCACAAUGUCUCUAUGUGGCACAGACUGCCUAAUGACUUGGUUAAAAUAUUUACUGUGUACAUGUGCUUUGUUUCUAAAACAAUGUUCCUGGUUGCUCCAGGAAUCCCCGGUGUUUAAUAAAACUGUGAAAAUAA